AUUGAACGCUGGCGGCAUGCUUUACACAUGCAAGUCGAACGGCAGCGCGGGCUUCGGCCUGGCGGCGAGUGGCGAACGGGUGAGUAAUACAUCGGAACGUGCCCAGUAGUGGGGGAUAGCUCGGCGAAAGCCGGAUUAAUACCGCAUACGACCUGAGGGUGAAAGCGGGGGAUCUUCGGACCUCGCGCUAUUGGAGCGGCCGAUGGCAGAUUAGCUAGUUGGUGGGGUAAAGGCCUACCAAGGCGACGAUCUGUAGCUGGUCUGAGAGGACGACCAGCCACACGGGGACUGAGCCACGGCCCAGACUCCUACGGGAGGCAGCAGUGGGGAAUUUUGGACAAUGGGCGAAAGCCUGAUCCAGCAAUGCCGCGUGUGUGAUGAAGGCCUUCGGGUUGUAAAGCACUUUUGGCGGGAACGAAAAGGACUGUGCCAAUACCACGGUUCGAUGACGGUACCCGCAGAAUAAGCACCGGCUAACUACGUG
rnacentral:rRNA from 1 species